CGUUGGACCAAAGGAGCCAGACCCAGAACGGUCCCCACAGCACGAGGUCACGGCGACGGGGCUCACGAAGCAGUCCGACCCGUGCGGGUGGGAGCCGGGCCUUCCUCUCAUGGGCCGGAGGGGUUGACGGGAGGGACAAGCGACCCUACAGUGACGGGAACGUUCGUAUGUCGACCCAGCCGGUGUGCACGUGGGGGUGUCCGCUUGUCACAGCUCAUCCGACACCACCCCUGAAAUCCGUACGUUUCGUUACAGUAAAUUGUGCCACAGUUUUGGAAGAGUUUGGAGUAAGGAAAAAAAAAAAGGUGUUGGAAAUGAUGAUCCAAGCCCUGCUUUGAUCUCGUGAAAAGCGUGUCUCGCCCAAAACGAUGAGGGCCAUUUGGGAGCUGCUGCUUGGCUCGGGCUCCGUGACAGGGACGUCACCAGGGGGCUUUGUAGAAUGUUUCCUUCUCGUCAGCGCAUCACCUCCUCACUGCCUCUCUGCCUUCCCUCAAACCUGCAUCCGGGGGGACCCUGAAGGCCCACCCAGGGGCAUGAGCCACAUGGCCCGGCCGCUCAGUCGUGGCAUGAAGGAGACCCAACGGGGACCCAAGCAAGAAAGGCAGCUUGUGCCUUUGGCCUCCACCCAGCACGGCCCCCCCAGACUGCUCCUCUUUGGUGGGUACGUGGCAGCCGCGUGGGGCAUCACGGGUCAGACAUCCAUGGCUCUGUGCAUUCCUGUAGCUCAGCCGCCCCUGGGAAAGCCAACACCCACGAAAGACCCGGUGCUCCCAAAGUGCCCCCACUUCACCCCUUGCAAAGUGUCCCCACUCGCGCACGACCCUCUCUUGCCCACUCCCUGUCUCGACCUCGCUUGCCUCUGUGAUUCUGCCUACUCUGAGUGCCCGGGCUGGGACGGUCCCAGGCCAACCAAGACGGCUGGUUUCCGUAGUCACCUCCCUGUUGGUGACACGGUCCACAGGCACUGCGCGUGCCCAGCACAAACGCGCAGCCCUGCGAGGGGAGAGCAGAGCCUUCUUAGGCGGACAGUGCCCUGCAGGCAGGCUCUCGCCCAGCCUGGGCCAGCAGCAUGUGGCAGUGGGUUCGCUCUGUCGAAGCCCCUGGCUGGGCAGCUGACCGGGGGCCCUUCCUGACCAGGAGAGCCUAAGCAUCCAGCAAGGGAGGCUGGUACCACCACCCCCAGACUCUCUGGUUUCCUUCAACUUCGGUUGUACCUUCUAGAGCCUUACAGCUGAGUUCCGGUGCCUUCAGCAGUGAAGAGCUUUGCCCAGAAACCCUGUUCCCACUAUGGGAAGAGAUGGCGGUCCUACUGGACCCCUUCCCUGCCAUUUUUACAGCCGGAGCAAAUGCCUGUGGGUCCCUGAAGGACAGAAUCAAGGCUAGCUGGGUAUCAGUUAAGUGGAGACCACAUUGAUAGAACCUUCCAGAAAUAAGCUACCCCAGGAUGAAAGGAAUUGCCUCAAAAAGGAGUGAGCGUCCCCUGCCUCGGGGUAUGCAAAUGGGAGCGGGGUCUCCAUCUCUCCAGAGUCCAUCACAGCAAGAGGUGACGUACGGUCGCUCCCCCCACCCCCGCCCCGGCUUGAUUUUGUGCCCCCACUGUGUUCCCCUCCCUGUCUGGGGAUUUCAGGGGCGUCCGUGUUCUGUGGCUUCAGGGGGGAACCUGUCGUAAACUGUCCCACAAAUUAAACCCUCCAGCUCCCUCCCUCUGCUCACGGACCUGACCUCACAGAUCGGAGCUCUCAGAGCAGGUCUGCUAGACAAGUUUGCCUGCAAAUCUGGAAAUGGCCCUUCCCGGGGGCAACACCCCCCCCCCGCCCCCGCCCCCGCCCUGCCCCUUGCCUCCUGCUUGAGGUCCGUCGCCGCCACGGGGCUCCCACUGGCCGGGGCUUGCCAGGAUGGCCAAGGGGAGGCCGGUGUGAGGGCCCCGCUCUGCUGGGUUAGGAAUCCGAGAGUAAACAGAUCGAGUUUCCAGUGUCAGCUGGGCUUUUCCAUAACAGGCGCCACAGCCGUGGAAAAUGAGAAUGUUCUCUGAGAUGACUCAGCCGGCCGGCCCCCAGAGGUCAUCUGAGGAUGGGGUCGGCCAAGGGGGCCGCCCAGGACAUCCUGCCCCUGGACAAGCAGCAGAUGGCACAGAAUCCAAGUGGCUGCUGGAGAGGAGAGGCACUCGAGUGACCAGGGAGCCCGGGGCCCUCAGAGUUGCCAGGUUUAUUGAUUUGUUGGACACAGCGAGAGAAGGAACACAAGCAGGGGGAGUGGGAGAGAAGGAAGCAGGCUUCCCGCUGAGCAGGGAGCCCGAUGAAGGCUCCAUCCUGGGACCCCGGGAUCGUGACCUGAGACAAAGACUGAUGCUUAGAGACUGAGCCACGCAGGCACCCCCUCUGCUUCUUUUGUGUGUGUCUUGAGACUUCAUGUGGUCUGAAAGGUUUAUUUUAUCAUUUUUAAGAGCGGUUCCUUCUCUCUCUGCCGGAACAGAUGCCGCCGUCCGUGCUGUCUGCGGACUGACUUUACCGUCUACCGGAUUGUGGGCACUCACUCGUAUUUUUGCAAGUCACACUAGACCGUUCAUCCCGACGGCUCGUCCGCCUGCUUGCCCGGCGAGGGCCGUCUGGGUUCACAGCCGGCUUUCUGUCCCCGAGAACAAGUGGUUAUCAAUUCUCGUGUCCGCGGCUCCCGUGACACCUGUGGGAGAGGGCGGAUGCCUCCCAGGGCACGUGUGGGGGCCACACCGGCCUCCCCGCUGUAGACAUGGCCCAGCCUACUGGGCCCAAGGCUGUAACUUCCUACCCUAACUGAGCCUCGGGCUUCCUGCCCGCGAAGUGGGAAUAAUUAAUUAGUUGGGCUACACGUCUGUUUGGUUAGUGCCGAUGACGCACAGACCGCAUCACCUCCUGUCCCAGCCAUGCGGGGGCGGGGGGCGGCUGCGGGGAAGUCUCGGCCCAUCUCCCAGGAGCAGGUGUGUCACUGAGCACAGUCAGAUCUGGAAGUGAAUAAUCUUUCAUGGUAUAGUCACCGGGGAGGAUGGGCCAGGGCUUGGACCUGCCUGGAGGUGCUGGGGUGGGGGCCGCGGGAAUGGGUAGAUCCGGAGUCAGACAAGCGUCAUUUUACACCAGAGAAGCCAAGAACCUUCCCCUGCCUGCGAGGCCUGAGCACCGCCUGGACAGGAAUGUUGCUGGGAGGUCCGGUUCCGCACGGUUCUGCAGGCCAGCUCCUGGACUCGCCACUUUGCAUGACCACACGAGCCCAGGCAAGAUCUGAGCACUGCCCUGAGUGUUCAGUUCCUCCUUCAGUCCCACAGUACCCUGCCAAACCUCUUUCAGAGAUAAGAGAGCUGUUCCGGUCUUGUCUGGGGCAGGUGGUAAAGCCAAGAUCCACACAGGGGCCCUUUCCGACUCCGACGCCCCCAGGGAAGAAAGAGAACCAACUACCAGUCAGCUCAGAGCUUGCCCUUGGCUCUGGGUUUGUGAAGCAAGAGGCUGAACUUCCCCAGACAGUGGCCCUAUCCUGGCAGGGCCCUUCCUCCUCACCGCACCCACCCGGCUGCCCCAGGCCAUUGGGACGUGCAUAAGGAGACCUG